rnacentral:rRNA from 1 species
UACGUAGGGUGCAAGCGUUGUCCGGAAUUAUUGGGCGUAAAGAGCUCGUAGGCGGUUUGUUGCGUCGGCUGUGAAAUCCCGAGGCUCAACCUCGGGUCUGCAGUCGAUACGAGCAAACUAGAGUGUUGCAGGGGAGACUGGAAUUCCUGGUGUAGCGGUGAAAUGCGCAGAUAUCGGGAGGAACACCGGUGGCGAAGGCGGUUCUCUGGGCCUGUACUGACGCUGAGGAGCGAAAAGCGUGGGGAGCGAACAGG